rnacentral:piRNA from 1 species
UGCGUACCUUCUGGAGAGAUCAGCCA